AGCUUCUUCUUUCUAUGACCCUGAGGUCACUGUGGCUGAGGUCUUGCAAGACUGGAACAACAGGGCAGGACAGACUGUUUUGUUGCUUCCAUAAGACAAGCAAAUUUUGAUGGAGAAGGAAAGAGACCCAAAGGACGUGAUGGAACAAAGACCUGGAGCAGCUCUGACAACAAAAUGAUAUCAGGCUUCUGUCUCCACCCACCAGGCCACAUGGAGACACAUGAAGAAGAUCUGCAAGCCAACAAGAGCCCUCACCAACCCUGUCAGCACCUUAAUUUAUGGAUUUCAAACCUCCAGAACUGGGGCAAAUAAAUGUCAG